rnacentral:pre_miRNA from 1 species
UCAGUAACAUGGGUUCGAACCUCGCGUUGGUUCUCCGCCGAGGUUGGCCCUGCGUUGCUGUGC